UCAGUAACAAAGAUUCAUCCUUGUGUCGAUCAUACAGCACGGAGAGUCUUUGUCACUCAGU
rnacentral:pre_miRNA from 1 species